rnacentral:tRNA from 1 species
GGGGAUGUGGCUCAGUGGUAGAGCACCUGUCUAGCACGUGCAAGGCCCUGGGUUUGAGCCCCAAUACCUCCC